rnacentral:rRNA from 1 species
GAUGAACGCUGGCGGUAUGCUUAACACAUGCAAGUCGAACGGACUCUUCGGAGUUAGUGGCGGACGGGUGAGUAACGCGUGAGAAUCUGGCUUUGGGUUCGGGACAACCACUGGAAACGGUGGCUGAUACCGGAUGUGCCGAGAGGUAAAAGAGAAAUUGCCUGAAGAUGAGCUCGCGUCUGAUUAGCUAGUUGGUGAGGUAAAGGCUCACCAAGGCAGCGAUCAGUAGCUGGUCUGAGAGGAUGACCAGCCACACUGGGACUGAGACACGGCCCAGACUCCUACGGGAGGCAGCAGUGGGGAAUUUUCCGCAAUGGGCGAAAGCCUGACGGAGCAAUACCGCGUGAGGGAAGAAGGCUCUUGGGUUGUAAACCUCUUUUCUUAGGGAAGAACAAAAUGACGGUACCUAAGGAAUCAGCAUCGGCUAACUCCGUG